rnacentral:rRNA from 1 species
AACGAACGCUGGCGGCAUGCCUAACACAUGCAAGUCGAACGAUCCCUUCUGGGAUUGUGGCGAACUUGUGCGUAACGCGUGGGAACCUUCCCUUAGGUUCGGUAUAACUUAGAGCAAUUUGAGCUAAUUCCGGAUAAUUUCUUCUGCCCAAAGAUUUAUCGGCUUUGGAUGGGUCCGCUUUGGAUUAGCUAGUUGGUGGGGUAAAGGCCUACCAAGGCUACGAUCCAUAGCUGGUCUGAGAGGAUGAUCAGCAACACUGGGACUGAGACACGGCCCAGACUCCUACGGAAGGAAGAAGUGGGGAAUAAUGGACGAUGGGCGAAAGACUGAUCCAGCAAGGCCGCGUAAGUGAGGAAGGAGUUAGGGUUGUAAAGCUGUUUUAAACGGGAUGAUAGUGACGGUACCGGGAGAAUAAGCCCCGGCUAACUACGUG